GCGUGUUGAUGUCGAGACCAAGAAGGCGAGCUAAGACUUGACGGAAAUCCAGCAACUGUAAUAGAUUGAUCAAAAAGAAGAAACGAUGGCAUCUUCUUCAGCCGCAAUGGAAUCAUCUAAAUCUCCAAUCAGCUGCGCCAGAUGCCGCUUGAAGUUGUGUAGCUGCAGAGAGAACCAAAAAGAAAUUAUUGAAACCUCUACAGCUAUAAAAAUGAAAAAAAAUACACUUGCCUUCUAACCAGGCUGAGCAACAAUGACUCACCACUUUUGUGUGAAUGGACAGACUCAAGUUAGAAAUUCUCAAUUAAGGGCGUUCAAAGUAAACCGUGAUCACAUUU